CAGCAGCCGCGGUAAUACGAAGGGUGCAAGCGUUACUCGGAAUUACUGGGCGUAAAGCGUGCGUAGGUGGUGGUUUAAGUCCGUUGUGAAAGCCCUGGGCUCAACCUGGGAAUUGCAGUGGAUACUGGGUCACUAGAGUGUGGUGGAGGAUAGUGGAAUUUCCGGUGUAGCAGUGAAAUGCGUAGAGAUCGGAAGGAACAUCUGUGGCGAAGGCGACUAUCUGGGCCAACACUGACACUGAGGCACGAAAGCGUGGGGAGCAAACAGGAUUAGAUACCCCAGUAGUCCCUGUCUCUUAUAC
rnacentral:rRNA from 1 species